UCGACCCGCGUCCCGCAACCCCCCCCGGCCGCUCCCCGGGGUCCCGCGGCGGCGCGGAGCCGGGGCCGGCGGCGCGGAGCUCGGCGCGGCGGCGGCGGGACGAAGAAUACGGGUCCCGGCGGAGCCGGCGGGGGAUGAACAUCGAACGAGCACAUGGAGUUCCAGAUGCUGAUCCUCGGAGAAUCCACGUGUGACGGAUGGAUAAGCUCUUGGCUCAGCCCCAGCCUGGUGGAGCUUGUGUGUGGUUGUUUCAGGCUGACGUACAAAAAGGAUUUAUUCUGCCAGGCCAUUACAUGCAGCAUUUGAUUUCUCUUAUAUAUAUCCGUGGCACCAGUCCUCUUACCUUCUUCCUAAUAUGCAUGGCUGCGCAUAGCAGGUAUUUCCUAGAGAAUAUUGUGGUUGUGAAGUCAGAAAUUAACCUGCUACUGCUGGGAUUUGUUAAACAAAUUUAGGCUCUGGUUGCAGAAAUACCCAGUCUCAUACCAUCUUGAGUUCAGUUGUUUAAGCAGGUGUUCAGCACCCAAGUGCCAUGGGAGGUCUUGGUCUAGCUGGCUUGGAUUCUGAAAAACAGCUGAGUGAUAGUGCUCAAUCCAACAUUACCCCAGUGGCUGCAGCCCACCAAGUUUAAAAAUGUCAUUUAAAAAUGAGGUAAACCAAUGUGUUUUCUUGAUUAAAAGCAAAUUCAAGUCUUAAGAUACACAGAGAAUGUAAGAUAUGUGUGGCCUCAGAGUAUUCCUGUCUAUUGGAAAUGAAUGAAAUACUUUACAUGAACGGGAAAUACAGGUGUAAGUGUGUGAUGGCCCAGGAGAGGAUGGAAUACCGAUGCUGUGAACAAAGAUCAGUGACUGGAAUCUUUCUUCCCAAACCUAUUCCCCCCCCCCCCCCCCAUAAAUAAGUUUGAUGUGCAGAAUGCAAAUUGAGGUCAUGGCAUUGUUGCUUCCUCUUUGUAAAGAAGGAUGGAUGCUCAUCUGAGUUGCUGCAUUGGAAUUCUACCUGAAGCUACAAACCAUUGCAGUCUUCAGCUGUUUCAUGUUCACACUCCAAUGUUUUAAGUCAUUUCUCUGUCCAGUGCCAGGGUCGGGAGCACGGAAUCAAGAUUAGAUGAGCGUUUCUGUAGCAGGCAGGAACAGGUUUGCCUGGCAGGAUGCUUAAAUGAAGGAACAGAUGUCUGAAGGUGGGAGUCUUUAAUGGCUCCUGAGGCUCUCUGGAUUGAACUGCUGAGGACACCCAUCAGCCUCGCCGCCGGGGCACUGAUUGGCAACUAGCACUUUGUCAGAAGCCAAGGGAUUUGGAAGGCUUCAUGUUCAGUGUGCUCUUCUGUUCAAUCCCCUUCUGCAGGGACAAUCAAUUCAAUUAUGGAGGUGUGGACUGGAAAUGUCAGUUAUCAUUAUCAGGGACAACGAGAAAUUGUCUCUUUAUUAACUUAAGUUAUGCAAUUGUGUCCUGCCUCAGCAAUUAGAUUUUAUGCGUGCAAGUGAUUGCUAGAAUGCUCACUUUGAACACACUGGUUCUUUUCCUAUGCAGCACAAAAGUAAGCUGUUUUGUGGAAACAAAUGCUUCAUAUUGGUGUAGGACAUUGUGUGCUUGGAGUAACACGCACUUGUAAGAGAGGUCAGUGGUGAAAACCAGGAUCCUGAGUUCUCAUCUCAGCCUGAUCUUGACUUGCUGGGUCAUCUUGGGUGAGAUACUUGACCCUUUUAGUGCCUAUCACUCUCACAUGUCUUGUGUACAAGGAUGUUUGUGAAGAACUUAAUGUGUGAACAUUCCUGGUGCCACAUUACAUCAGUGAAUAAGGAUUGUAUUUUGCAUAAUUGAUCACCUGAUGAUCCUCAGUGUUUUUAACUACUGUGUUGAUCUCCAUUUCUGACAGAUGCAGACAAAAAUCUGUCCUUGGUGCUUAAAGUUCUGGUUCAAUUUUAUAUCACACCCACGUUUUUCAGUGCAGUAAUAGUAAAAAACCCCCAAACCAAACAAAUACCAAAAAACCCAAGCUCGAAAGAAAAGCAAGCUGUCCAGCCCACCAACAAUUGAAUUGACAUGUUUUUUCUUCUGAAAGGUGGUGUUCUCAGCUGGCCUCUACCAUCUUGAGUGCAUGUGAAAUAAAAAAUAGAGUGUAGUUGCUUGGCUGGGCUUUGAGGCAGCUUUGUCAGUGACACAGUGACCAAAAUCAGCCCAGUCAACCACUGUGAGGGAGAUCAGGUUUUGAUUACGGUUUUAGUCUCCUGCUGUGUUUGGUUUUCUACCUUCUCCCUCUGCCCUGAAAGAGAACAGGUUGAGAAGCGAUAGAGCUAUUUCCUCCAACCCAAACUCCCUGAAUUGUGAGUUCCUUUCUAACCUGAACUCUCUGUGGGAUUGACACUUUUUGAGUUUGUCUCUUCUUCCAUGGUUGUUGCAUGUUACAGUUCCCCCCAGGUUUGUGAAACAUCCCUUGCUCAUUUUCACUUUCUCCUAGGGGUUGCUUCCAACACCCUCUUAAUUUGGUUUGAGAAAUUAGAAUUACCUGUAACCAUCAGGUAAAACAACAGUCUUGACUGGAUAAAAAUGAGAGGCACUUGCUUGGAAGGUCAGCUGUUAGCUGUAACUAAAUGUUGUGUCACAAUGCUAGAUGUUUUACAAGGUGUAGACCUUGGGCAGGCAGUACAGAGAACAUCUUCCAUUACAAUAUUGCCUGUGGCUGCAGAUGUGUGUUUACACAGGACAAAAAAUAAGAAUCUGUGUCAAAAGCCAUUUUGACACUGGUUCUGCAAGGAGGUGUGUGCAUAUAUAUAUAUUUCAUUUGAUUUUUAUAGCUACCACCAAUCAAGGAGAUAUGAAUGCCAGCCAAACAUGAUUCAGAUGAGCACAAGACUAAAAAGAGUGAAGACAAAUAACAUGUCUGUAAUAUUUGCUGGCUGUCCAGUAAUGGUUUGCGUAAAAGAAAGUUGGUUAUCAAUUAUUCAUCAGAGAAUUUCUAUAUCGGUAGAAACGUAGAGGAGUGCUAGAUAGAAUUGUACUGAAAUCAAAAGGGAAUUAGGUUCAUCUGUAUACCAAACUUCAAGCAGAUCUAUGUAAUGUUUAGAGUCCCACCCACCUUUACCACCUCUUUCCCGACACACAUCCUGUAUUCCAUUCACCACAUAAUUCACCCCUCGCUGUGCUCUUCCUUGGUUGUAGCCUCUCAGUUAACUGCACCGUUCCUAUAUAAAGCACAUCGUUAAUGAGUUUUAUUGACAGUUUGCUACUGAACAGCCUAGAGCAGGAGUUGGAGUGACUCAGAGUAGGAAAGGCUGUGCAGCGUGCACAUUUGCAGAGAUAAUGAGCCUCAUUCUGAUCUUCUGAGUUUAGGUCCACUGAUUUCAUGCUCUCCACUGGUGCAGAUCAGAUUAUGCCACUGUCUCUGCUGCUGCCUGGGUUAGGCUGUGGUGGUGGGUGCUGCGACUCAGUCGUGGCCUUAUGCCUUCUGAACUCUGACUGUCUAGGACUGAUCCUGGAUGUAGGAAGAAGACAUUUACCAGUGUGGUUAGAAACUGCCCUUCCUCCAUGGGCUCCCUUCUCAGCGUGCCAUUUACAGGACAGAGCCUCUGGUGUGGUGUCACUCUUGGCGCCUGCAGCUCACCAGACCUUCACCAGUUGUAUCUAAUGAUGACAAAAAUCAGAGUGGGAGAAAUCCUCCAACAGUUGUGGAAAGGGUAAAAGGUCUGUAUUAAACUCGAGGCCUCCAAGAGCAAGAAGGAAAUUUUGUGCAAAUGUUUGAAUAAGGGAGGUGGACUGAGGAAAGCAGAAGAAAAAGGGCAGGACCUACAGGACUGUUAUGGCUGCCCACGCAGCAGUAUUGGCCUCUCUUUGAGCUGUGGUUACCAGUAUUUGACUACUUCCAAAACCAGUAUGACAAUACAAGAAAAUCAACUAGAAAAUGUCGGCAGU